AUUGAACGCUGGCGGCAGGCCUAACACCUGCAAGUCGAGCGAGCGGCGGACGCGUGAGUAAUGUCUGGGAAACCGCCCGAUGGAGGGGGAUAACUACUGGAAACGGUAGCUAAUACCGCAUACCAUCAGAUGUGCCCAGAUGGGCUUAGCUAGUAGGUGGGGUACGAGCUCACCUAGGCCACGCUCCCUAGCUGGUCUGAGAGGAUGACCAGCCACACUCGAACUGAGACACGGUCCAGACUCCUUCGGUAGGCGGCAGUGGGGAAUAUUGCACAAUGGGCUCAGGCCUGAUGCAGCCAUGCCGCGUGUGUGAAGAAGGCAUUCGGGUUGUAAAGCACUUUCAGCGAGGAGGCGUUACUCGCAGAAGAAGCACCGGCUAACUCCGUGCCAGCAGCCGCGGUAAUAC
rnacentral:rRNA from 1 species